rnacentral:rRNA from 1 species
UGGGGAAUAUUGGACAAUGGGGGCAACCCUGAUCCAGCCAUGCCGCGUGAGUGAUGAAGGCCUUCGGGUUGUAAAGCUCUUUUGGCGGGGACGAUGAUGACGGUACCCGCAGAAUAAGCCCCGGCUAACUUCGUGCCAGCAGCCGCGGUAAGACGAAGGGGGCUAGCGUUGUUCGGAAUUACUGGGCGUAAAGCGAGUGUAGGCGGUUGCCGUAGUCAGGUGUGAAAGCCUUGAGCUCAACUCAAGAAAUGCACUUGAUACUGGGUGACUAGAGGACCGGAGAGGAUAGUGGAAUUCCCAGUGUAGCGGUGAAAUACGUAGAGAUUGGGAAGAACACCAGUGGCGAAGGCGGCUAUCUGGACGGUUACUGACGCUAAGACUCGAAAGCGUGGGGAGCAAACAGGAUUAGAUACCCUGGUAGUCCACGCCGUAAACGAUGGGUGCUAGACGUUGGCGAGCUUGCUCGUCAGUGUCGCAGCUAACGCGUUAAGCACCCCGCCUGGGGAGUACGGCCGCAAGGGUUGAAACUUAAAUGAAUUGACGGGGGUCAUAGCUGUUUCCU